AUGGGCGUGCUCGCGGGCUACUCCUCGGCGCGCCUGUACAAGGCUCUCAGGGGGUCGGAGUGGAAGAAGGUCACCGUCAAGACGGCGACCAUGUUCCCCGGCACGGUGUUCGCCAUCUUCUUCGUCCUCUACGCGCUCAUAUGGGGCGAGAGGUCCUCCGGCGCGGUGCCCUUCACCACCAUGUCGGCACUGGUGCUGCUCUGGUUCGGCAUCUCGGUGCCGCUGGUGUUCGUGGGGAGCUACCACGGCUUCUUCAAGAGGAGGCCCGCGGCGGAGGACCCGGUGCGGACGAACAAGAUCCCGCGGCCGAUCCCGGAGCAGCCGUGGUACAUGCACCCGGCUGUGUCGGUGCUGAUCGGCGGCGUGCUCCCGUUCGGCGCGGUCUUCAUCACCUCCGUCUGGUUGCACCAGUUCUACUACAUCUUCGGGUUCCUGCUGCUGGCGUUGGUGAUCCUGGCGCUGACCUGCGUGGAGAUCGCAGUGGUGCUCUGCUACUUCCAGCCCUGCAGCGAGGACUACCGGUGGUGGUGGAGGUCGUACUUGCCUGACGGCCGGCUCGUCGGCGCUCUACCUCUUCCUCUACGCCGCCUUCCACUUCUUCAGCUACUUCCACUUCUUCACCAAGCUGGACAUCAGUCACCAAGGUGGUCUCCGGCGCGCUCUACUUCGGGUACAUGCUCAUCGCCUCCUACGCCUUCUUCGUCCUCACCGGCGAUCACCAUCGGCUUCUACGCCUGCUUCUGGUUCACCAACCUCAUCUACUCCUCCUCCCUCGAGGUCGACAAGAUCAUCAGAGUAGUUAGUGGCAGGCAAGUAGGCUCUGCUUCUUCAGGCGUUAUCUUGGGAGAUCCUACAGUAUGA
rnacentral:rRNA from 1 species